CUAAGUUUAAGCAAUCUAUACGGUGAAACUGCGAAUGGCUCAUUAAAUCAGUUAUCGUUUAUUUGAUAGUACCUUACUACUUGGAUACCUGUGGUAAUUCUAGAGCUAAUACAUGCUAAAAACCUCGACUUCGGAAGGGGUGUAUUUAUUAGAUAAAAAACCAAUGCCCUUCGGGGCUCCUUGGUGAUUCAUAAUAACUUCACGAAUCGCAUGGCCUUGAGCCGGCGAUGGUUCAUUCAAAUUUCUGCCCUAUCAACUUUCGAUGGUAGUAUAGAGGACUACCAUGGUUUCUACGGGUAACGGGGAAUUAGGGUUCUAUUCCGGAGAGGGAGCCUGAGAAACGGCUACCACAUCCAAGGAAGGCAGCAGGCGCGCAAAUUACCCAAUCCCGACACGGGGAGGUAGUGACAAUAAAUACUGAUCCAGGGCUCUUUUGGGUCUUGGAAUUGGAAUGAGUACAAUUUAAAUCCCUUAACGAGGAACAAUUGGAGGGCAAGUCUGGUGCCAGCAGCCGCGGUAAUUCCAGCUCCAAUAGCGUAUAUUAAAGUUGUUGCAGUUAAAAAGCUCGUAGUUGAAACUUGGGCCUGGCUGACCGGUCCGCCUCACCGCGUGCACUGGCUCGGCCGGGCCUUUCCUUCUGGGGAACCGCAUGGCCUUCAUUGGUCGUGUUGGGGAUCCAGGACUUUUACUUUGAAAAAAUUAGAGUGUUCAAAGCAGGCCUAUGCUCGAAUACAUUAGCAUGGAAUAAUAGAAUAGGACGUGUGGUUCUAUUUUGUUGGUUUCUAGGACCGCCGUAAUGAUA
rnacentral:rRNA from 1 species